rnacentral:rRNA from 1 species
UCGGAUUGUAGGCUGAAACUCGCCUACAUGAAGCUGGAGUUACUAGUAAUCGCAGAUCAGAAUGCUGCGGUGAAUGCGUUCCCGGGUCUUGUACACACCGCCCGUCACACCACGGGAGUUGGAGACGCCCGAAGCCGAUUAUCUAACCUUUUGGAAGAAGUCGUCGAAGGUGGAAUCAAUAACUGGGGUGAAGUCGUAACAAGGUAGCCGUAUCGGAAGGUGCGGCUGGAUCACCUCCUUUCUAAGGAGA